CCCAGGAGCUCCUUCCAACCUUACAGCAAGUGUGUCUUCAGUGUGGUUCAUUCAGCACCCUUGGUGUAUAUGAGGCAAUCUGAAGAGGAUGUAAGUCAGUUUGAUUCCAAGUUUACACGUCAGACACCUGUCGACAGCCCAGAUGACGCAACUCUCAGUGAAACUGCCAAUCAGGUCUUUCUGAUGCCACUGCAAGAACGGGGACAAUGGAACAGGCCCUUACCAAAUGCCAAACGUGCUAUCACCUUGAUUUUGGAUUUCCCAGCCUCCGGAACUGUGAGGAAUAAAUUUUUUUGCUUAUAAA